rnacentral:lncRNA from 1 species
AAGGAAACUGCUGUGUGAGCACUGUCAGGGGUAAACGUUUUGGCAGGAGGUGGUGACAGUCAGGAAAAAGACCACGUGCUACUUGCCAAUUUAUCCAGCAUUUCCGAAAACAGCUCCUUGCCAGCAGAGUCAAAAAUGAAGAGUUCCUACAAUCAGAAAAGCAAGAAAAGUCUCCACGUGGAAAAACCACAAGCUACGAGUCACUGGUAUCACUCUCAACUCACACUGGACUUGUCUUAGGGGUGAAAUACAGGCACCCACAUCUUCACACAUGCUCUGUCUUUUCUCCCAGGCACGAGAGAAGAUGAAGGGGAAAGGAGCGAACUCCAGAGUCUUAGAGAGGCAGUACGACGGGUUCUCGCACCAACCAGCACUUCCUGUGUGGAGUCUCACCUCUUGUAACCCUGAGUGCAAAAAUACCAGGAACAAGCUGACUUCCCACCUGGCAGAACAGAAUGCUAAACAGGCCGGCGAGUGCUCUGGUUUCCAAAAGACCUCUUUAGGAAUCUGGUGAAAGCUACAAACCCUCUCUCUAGAGAAGCACACACAAACAUAAAUCUUGCAAUUCACUUUCAAGAGCCCCAGGUUCCCAUAAAGAGACUCAAGAACCUUGAUAGUAGAGAACAAGUUCUUCAAGGGCCAGGCCCAUCUCCUAGUCCUCCUUCCUUCCUUCCUGCUGCACCUCCUCAGUCCCUCCCUUGAAUGCUU